rnacentral:rRNA from 1 species
UACGUAGGGUGCAAGCGUUGUCCGGAAUUAUUGGGCGUAAAGAGCUCGCAGGCGGUUUGUCGCGUCUGCUGUGAAAUCUCAGGGCUUAACCCUGAGCCUGCAGUGGGUACGGGCAGACUAGAGUGUGGUAGGGGAGAUCGGAAUUCCUGGUGUAGCGGUGGAAUGCGCAGAUAUCAGGAGGAACACCGGUGGCGAAGGCGGAUCUCUGGGCCAUAACUGACGCUGAGGAGCGAAAGCAUGGGGAGCGAACAGG